ensembl:lncRNA
CUGGUUCUAUACAGGGUUGAGGAAGGCUGGUUCUGUACAGGGCUGAGGAGUAAAGGUUCUAUAGAGGGCUGAGGAGUAAAGGUUCUAUAGAGGGCUGAGGAGUAAAGGUUCUAUAGAGGGCUGAGGAGUAAAGGUUCUAUAGAGGACUGAGGAGUAAAGGUUCUAUACAGGGCUGAGGAGUAGGUUCUAUACAUGGCUGAGGAGUAAAGGUUCUAUAGAGGGCUGAGGAGUAAAGGUUCUAUACAGGGCUGAGGAGUAGGUUCUAUACAGGGCUGAGGAGUAAAGGUUCUAUAGAGGGCUGGUUCUAUAGAGGGCUGAGGAGUAAAGGUUCUAUACAGGGCUGAGGAGGGCUGGUUCUAUACAGGGUUGAGGAGUAAAGGUUCUAUACAGGGCUGGUUCUAUAUAGGGCUGGGGAGGGAUGGUUCUAUACAGGGCUGGUUCCAUACAGGGCUGGGGAGGGAUGGUUCUAUACAGGGAUGGGGAGGGAUGGUUCUAUACAGGGCUGGUUCUAUACAAGGCUGGUUCUAUACAGGGCUGGGGAGGGAUGGUUCUAUACAGGGCUGGGGAGGGCUGGUUCUAUACAGGGCUGGUUCUAUACAGGGCUGGGGAGGGAUGGUUCUAUACAGGGCUGGUUCUAUACAGGGCUGGGGAGGGAUGGUUCUAUACAGGGCUGGUUCUAUACAGGGCUGGUUCUAUACAGGGCUGGGGAGGGCUGGUUCUAUACAGGGCUGGGGAGGGAUGGUUCUAU